CAUCAACAUCUCCAUUGUCACACAAAUCAGAUCAUUUAGAGAAAUUUCAUUUGCUUUGAAGGAAAAUUUCAAUCCUGCUGUAGCAGCCACAGACUGCUUGAGCCACAAAGAAAGUCCAAGUUCAGUCAUCUUCAUGAAAUCCUUAUUUUCGUUUUGCACUACAUUGACCGACAGGACCUCAUUUGGAGAACUAAGAGAUUUGUUGCAAAUUUAUUUGCUUGAUAUGCCCCCUACUGCCUUGGAAUGACAAGAGUGAUAGGGAAAGCAUCCAUGGAGCUUCAAAUCUGAUACACGAUGUCAUCAAUUUC